UUUGAUAAAUAGCAUGAGGUUUAGCUAGGGUAUGUUAUGAAAGGUUCCUAAGUUUUUAUGUGGUUAUCAUAGGACGUAUUUAACCGCUGGGAUUAGCUCGUUCUGAGUGACUUCAACCAAGACCAUCGAGGUAAGGGCAAGGCCCCCAUGUACGGCUGACGGGGAUGUUGCGAAGGCCAUGGAAGUCUUAAGGAGGGUUUGUAGUGUCGUAGGCAUCUUGUUGGAUUCUCUCGGUUAAUAAUUAUUACAAUUGUCCCUCUAAUUAUCUGUUGAUUAUUUCUAGGUUAGGCUGUCGUUAUUGUUUUCCCCAGGUAUGAACGGCUUAUAAUAAUGAACGUAUUGUCAUUUUUUAG